CACAGCUGUGGCCCAGCAGGCCCGGCCUGGGCCGCGGCGUUUCCCAGGGCCCGCAACCCACGGAAGGGACUCUCCUGAGUUUGUCAUCGCGUCAGAGUGGAGAAAGUUAAUUGCUUUCUGGGCAGAUGUCUAUCACCACCUUCCUCUGAAUGGAGUCCAAACAAUCCGCUCAUAUAUCACAGGUUGGGAGCACCCUGCCUCCAGUUUUUUGGACAGCAGUUAAAGAGACAAAGAAAAUGAAGGUCUAGAAGAAAUCCUCAAAAAAAGAAUCGCCACUUGUAGCUUUGAGCACCACACAAGCUACAAGAUUUGUAGUCACCUCAUGCAAAGUGGCCAUCACAAAGCACAGGCUGGAUCUGGCCCGUUAGAUUAGAAUGGCAUCUUUAAUUAUUGCCAUGAAAGACAUGGCAUGGUUUAAAAAUCCGUUUGAUAUAUUCUUAGGGUACACGUAUCCCCUGUAUGUCAGACUAGUCAGAAAAGGCAGCAAGCGCUUUCAGUCCUCAUGACUACACUUCCUAUCCCUAAUGUGGGGAUAAAGGAAAUGAAAGUCAAUGAAAUCAAUAUGAAGAAGUGUCAUUGUUAAAUAUUUACAUUGCUCUCC